rnacentral:rRNA from 1 species
GAUGAACGCUGGCGGCGUGCCUAAUACAUGCAAGUCGAGCGAACAGACGAGGAGCUUGCUCCUCUGACGUUAGCGGCGGACGGGUGAGUAACACGUGGAUAACCUACCUAUAAGACUGGGAUAACUUCGGGAAACCGGAGCUAAUACCGGAUAAUAUAUUGAACCGCAUGGUUCAAUAGUGAAAGACGGUUUUGCUGUCACUUAUAGAUGGAUCCGCGCCGCAUUAGCUAGUUGGUAAGGUAACGGCUUACCAAGGCAACGAUGCGUAGCCGACCUGAGAGGAGGAUCAGCCACACUGGAACUGAGACACGGUCCAGACUCCUACGGGAGGCAGCAGUAGGGAAUCUUCCGCAAUGGGCGAAAGCCUGACGGAGCAACGCCGCGUGAGUGAUGAAGGUCUUCGGAUCGUAAAACUCUGUUAUUAGGGAAGAACAAAUGUGUAAAUAACUAUGCACGUCUUGACGGUACCUAAUCAGAAAGCCACGGCUAACUACGUG